rnacentral:rRNA from 1 species
AUUGAACGCUGGCGGCAUGCCUUACACAUGCAAGUCGAACGGCAGCACGGGUGCUUGCACCUGGUGGCGAGUGGCGAACGGGUGAGUAAUACAUCGGAACAUGUCCUGUAGUGGGGGAUAGCCCGGCGAAAGCCGGAUUAAUACCGCAUACGAUCUACGGAUGAAAGCGGGGGACCUUCGGGCCUCGCGCUAUAGGGUUGGCCGAUGGCUGAUUAGCUAGUUGGUGGGGUAAAGGCCUACCAAGGCGACGAUCAGUAGCUGGUCUGAGAGGACGACCAGCCACACUGGGACUGAGACACGGCCCAGACUCCUACAGGAGGCAGCAGUGGGGAAUUUUGGACAAUGGGCGAAAGCCUGAUCCAGCAAUGCCGCGUGUGUGAAGAAGGCCUUCGGGUUGUAAAGCACUUUUGUCCGGAAAGAAAUCCUUGGCCCUAAUACGGUCGGGGGAUGACGGUACCGGAAGAAUAAGCACCGGCUAACUACGUG